UUUUUUUUCUUCUUUUUAACCAGGUUUUCCGAAGGAAAAAACUGGUUAUUAGAUUGGCGAAUGCGGGCGGGCUGGCUGGCUGGCUGGCGGGCUGGCUGGCGGGCUGGCGGAAUAAGCUUGUCCGAGCCAUAACUAUGUCGUUCAUUGUCAGAUUUUAAAAUCAUUUGGCACAUUUGUUCACCAUCAUUGGACGGUGUGUCGCGCGAAAUAAUUACGUCGAUAUCUCCAAGGUCAAGGUCACACUUUGAGUUCAAAGGUCAAAAAUGGCCAUAAAUGAGCUUGUCCUGGCCAUAACUAUGUCAUUCAUUGUGAGAUUUUAAAAUCAUUUGGCACAUUUGUUCACCAUCAUGGGACGGUGUGUCCCACGAAAGAAUCACGUUAAUAUCUCCAAUGUCAAGGUCGCCACGACUAAAAAUAGAUUUAAAAAAAAAAAAAAAACUUACAAAGGGGGUUAAUUUUUUUUGGUCAUUUCAAAAGUU